AUGCAAGUCGUACGCUUCUUUUUCCACCGGAGCUUGCUCCACCGGAAAAAGAAGAGUGGCGAACGGGUGAGUAACACGUGGGUAACCUGCCCAUCAGAAGGGGAUAACACUUGGAAACAGGUGCUAAUACCGUAUAACAAUCGAAACCGCAUGGUUUUGAUUUGAAAGGCGCUUUCGGGUGUCGCUGAUGGAUGGACCCGCGGUGCAUUAGCUAGUUGGUGAGGUAACGGCUCACCAAGGCCACGAUGCAUAGCCGACCUGAGAGGGUGAUCGGCCACAUUGGGACUGAGACACGGCCCAAACUCCUACGGGAGGCAGCAGUAGGGAAUCUUCGGCAAUGGACGAAAGUCUGACCGAGCAACGCCGCGUGAGUGAAGAAGGUUUUCGGAUCGUAAAACUCUGUUGUUAGAGAAGAACAAGGAUGAGAGUAACUGUUCAUCCCUUGACGGUAUCUAACCAGAAAGCCACGGCUAACUACGUGCCAGCAGCCGCGGUAAUACGUAGGUGGCAAGCGUUGUCCGGAUUUAUUGGGCGUAAAGCGAGCGCAGGCGGUUUCUUAAGUCUGAUGUGAAAGCCCCCGGCUCAACCGGGGAGGGUCAUUGGAAACUGGGAGACUUGAGUGCAGAAGAGGAGAGUGGAAUUCCAUGUGUAGCGGUGAAAUGCGUAGAUAUAUGGAGGAACACCAGUGGCGAAGGCGGCUCUCUGGUCUGUAACUGACGCUGAGGCUCGAAAGCGUGGGGAGCAAACAGGAUUAGAUACCCUGGUAGUCCACGCCGUAAACGAUGAGUGCUAAGUGUUGGAGGGUUUCCGCCCUUCAGUGCUGCAGCUAACGCAUUAAGCACUCCGCCUGGGGAGUACGACCGCAAGGUUGAAACUCAAAGGAAUUGACGGGGGCCCGCACAAGCGGUGGAGCAUGUGGUUUAAUUCGAAGCAACGCGAAGAACCUUACCAGGUCUUGACAUCCUUUGACCACUCUAGAGAUAGAGCUUCCCCUUCGGGGGCAAAGUGACAGGUGGUGCAUGGUUGUCGUCAGCUCGUGUCGUGAGAUGUUGGGUUAAGUCCCGCAACGAGCGCAACCCUUAUUGUUAGUUGCCAUCAUUUAGUUGGGCACUCUAGCAAGACUGCCGGUGACAAACCGGAGGAAGGUGGGGAUGACGUCAAAUCAUCAUGCCCCUUAUGACCUGGGCUACACACGUGCUACAAUGGGAAGUACAACGAGUCGCGAAGUCGCGAGGCUAAGCUAAUCUCUUAAAGCUUCUCUCAGUUCGGAUUGUAGGCUGCAACUCGCCUACAUGAAGCCGGAAUCGCUAGUAAUCGCGGAUCAGCACGCCGCGGUGAAUACGUUCCCGGGCCUUGUACACACCGCCCGUCACACCACGAGAGUUUGUAACACCCGAAGUCGGUGAGGUAACCUUUUGGAGCCAGCCGCCUAAGGUG
rnacentral:rRNA from 1 species